CGCAGUGUAGCUCAACAGGAGAGAGCACCCGGUUACGACAGCCUUCUUUGAUUCGCGGUCUGUAGGAGGUUGACCGGGGAGGUUGCAGGUUCGAGUCCUGCCGCUGCGCCCA
rnacentral:tRNA from 1 species